rnacentral:rRNA from 1 species
UAAGGAAUAUUGGUCAAUGGGCGCAAGCCUGAACCAGCAACGCCGCGUGGAGGAAGAAGGGUUUCGGCUCGUAAACUCCUUUUAGGUGGGAAGAGCAAGGACGGUACCACCUGAAUAAGUCUCGGCUAACUACGUGCCAGCAGCCGCGGUAAAACGUAGGAGACGAGCGUUAUCCGGAUUUACUGGGCGUAAGGCGCGUGCAGGCGGUUAGAUAAGUCACUUGUGAAAGCGCCCGGCUCAACUGGGCGAGGUCGUGUGAGACUGUCUGACUUGAGAGAGGUAGAGGCGAAUGGAAUUCCGGGUGGAGUGGUGAAAUGCGUAGAGAUCCGGAGGAACACCAGUGGCGAAGGCGAUUCGCUGGGCCUACUCUGACGCUCAGACGCGAUAGCUUGGGGAGCGAAC